rnacentral:rRNA from 1 species
AACGAACGCUGGCGGCAGGCUUAACACAUGCAAGUCGAGCGCCCCGCAAGGGGAGCGGCAGACGGGUGAGUAACGCGUGGGAAUCUACCCAUCUCUACGGAAUAACGCAUGGAAACGUGUGCUAAUACCGUAUACGUCCUUCGGGAGAAAGAUUUAUCGGAGAUGGAUGAGCCCGCGUUGGAUUAGCUAGUUGGUGGGGUAAAGGCCUACCAAGGCGACGAUCCAUAGCCGGUCUGAGAGGCUGAUCAGCCACACUGGGACUGAGACACGGCCCAGACUCCUACGGGAGGCAGCAGUGGGGAAUAUUGGACAAGGGGCGCAAGCCUGAUCCAGCCAUGCCGCGUGAGUGAUGAAGGCCCUAGGGUUGUAAAGCUCUUUCACCGGUGAAGAUAAUGACGGUAACCGGAGAAGAAGCACCGGCUAACUUCGUGCCAGCCGCCGCCGUAACAC